CUUAUCUCCGUGAUUACACGGAGACGCGGCUUCUGGCUCCAAUCAGAUUUAGGGGGCGUUAUCUCCUCUGUCCCUACCCAUAUCCCUGGCUGGGUAUUUAAUCACAAGGGCUGCCACAAUCUGACAGCGCUGGCUGUCCAUGGUCACUUGUGACUGAUCCUCCUAGUAGAUUUCUGGAUAAGAUAAGUGUCAGUACACUUUCAUUCCUCCUGACUUCUGGGACCGCUGCCGGCUCAUCCCCUGCUUCUCUGCAGAUAUACAGCUGGUUUAGGCUUUCAAGGAGCCUUGCCCAUUAACUAUAUUAAGACCCUUUUCCCCAGUGGCUACGUUGCGGAGUUUUGGACGAUUGGAACCAUAACUCUAUUUUUCUAUUGGCUGCUACCCUGUUUUGCUUCCAAGCCAUUCAAGCCCCUCUGUAGGAGUCUCGUGUGUAAUUUUCACACCCUCUUCUGCUCGCCCAGGGUCUGGCUUGUUCCCUAUACACUUAGGGAUUCGGUACCAUGAUGCUCUCCGGUCCUCACGGUCCAUACACGUGG